rnacentral:lncRNA from 9 species
UCUUACCUUGCCAAGGUAAGCUUCCUUGCAGCUUUCCAUGGAUGCCUGCUGACAAUGCUUGCCUCCAAGAUUCUUCUUUUUUAAAUUGUCUCUGUUUUUUCUAAAUCCCUCUCUAUAUACCUCUUCCUCUUAACAGAAUACAAUGGUGUUGAUUUGGUUAUGGCUUCUGGAAUUUUUUUUUUUGGUGGCACACCUGUGGCAUAUGGAGGUUCCCAGGCUAGGGUUCAAGUCGGAGCUAUAGCUGCCAGCCUACACCAUAGCCACAGUAGUACCGGAUCCAAGCCACAUCUGCGAUCUACACCUUAGUUCACGGCAACGUGGGAUCCUUAACCCACUGAGUGAGGCCAAGGAUCAACCCUGCAUCCUCAUGGUACUAGUCACAUUGAGGCCACGACAGGAGCACCUGGAAUUUUAAUCCCAUCUCUGGUCCAUCUUUAAGAAUGCAUCCCAGAAGUUCCAGCUGUGGUGCAAUGGGAUUGGUGACAUCUUGGAAGUGCUGGGACAUAGGUCUGAUCCCUGGCCUGUCACAGUGGGUUAAGGACCUGGCCUUGCCGCAGCUAAGGAAUGCAUCCCAGAUCAUCUUGACUGAAUUUUGGAACUUCCUAAACCCAGGCUCCUUGCUUUCUCCCAUAGCUAGUCACAGAGUGUACAGACUUUGUUUCUAAACUCUCAGAGAAGCCAUUACCUAAUUGUCAUCUUUGUAUACAACCCCAUGAGAAAAGCACUUUUAUGAAUCACAUGUAAAGUCAGAAGUUGGAGAACUUUUCCUAGUGUAAUUUCACCUCGCCCUUUCUAUCUCUAAUUAAGAAGGCUCCCUGUAGGGUGUUCAGAUUACUGAUUUCUUUGCAUCUGCCUAACAGAUGUUGUGGCAGAAGAGUCCAUUUGUAGAGAUGUGACUCCCCUGUCAUUCUACAGUCUGUGUUCCACUGUGGGCUACUUACCAAUGUCUAUUCCUCUUGCCUUUCUUGCGAACAUAAACUCAAGGUUAUUUAGGUGUCUCCUCCUCAGGGAGCAUGACCACGGCACAAGGGUAAAUCCUGUUUAGGCUGACGAAAGCCUGGUAAUCUCACAUUCAUUGCUGGUGAUUAGUUGCCAGGAAGGCAUGUGGCUAAGUUUUAGUCAACGCAACUGAAAUAGAAAUCUCCUUUGAGCUUCUAGAAAUGAUGCCUUCUCUUACAAAGAGACAUGAGGAAGAAUGGGCCCACUUCUUCCUGCAGAAGUGAACCUGUAUCUGCUGGCCCCAGAGGGAGCCGGUCUGAGGGCAAAGCUGACAUAUUGGCAUUGGCAGAGGAAGAAGAUGGAGAGGACAUGGGCCCUUCUUCUUUUUUUUUUUUUUUCUUUCCCACACCCACGGCAUAUGGAAGUUCCUAGGCCAGGGAUUGAAUCCCAGCCACAGCUACAGCGUGUUCUACUGUUGCAGCAAUGCUGUAUCCUUAACGUACUGCACCACAGUAGGAACUCCCUUAAAAAAACUUUUUUUGGGGGGCCAGGCUUCAGCCACCCCAAUGCCACAACAGCCACCCCAACCACUGCAGCGACAAUGCCGGAUCCUUAACCAGCUAUGCUGCAGGAGAACUCCACCUGGGCCCAAGCUGCUGAUGGAGUUGCCCAACUCAGGACUUCCUCAUCAGGUAAUAUAUUAUCCUUUUUAUGAAACCAUUUGAUGUAGGAUCUUUGUGGAGUGCAGGUAAAAGCAACAGAAACUUUUAUCCAUGAUAAAGACAGCUAGGUUUUGUUUUGUUUUGUUUUUUUUUUCCCUUAUACAACCCAGAAAUUUUGACUCUUUCUGUGUUUGUACUGGAUGAGACUUGGACUCUCCUCUUUCCUAUUGAUUCCAUCUCUCUAUUUCACAUACAAUAAAUGGCUUCAAUAUAUGAAUCAAGGACUUAGUGGAUACACAUAGCUGUCCCAGAACUCUCUCAAUUAUUGUUAGCCAAGAUGGCCCUUCCCUAAAACUUCCUCUUGUUGGUCACAGCUCCUUGGGAGAACUUUUCUCUUGAAAGCUGAGUAGACUGAGCCACUAUUCCCAUGUCAGUCCUCUGUUGCAAAAAGUCCAUGUAAAGGAUAAAUUGAUGUCUGCUAGUUGCGAGCCCUUACCUUUACUGCCCCAGUUUGGAAUGAACAAGCGUAUUUAAGAUUUCAACCACAUUGAUUUCUAUACCUGGGAACUUUUGCUGGGUGUAGCAUUCAAAAUGUUAAGCCACCUUGCUUUUGAUUAUUUGAUUAUUUCAAAAAGCAUACACUUGGGUGUUGAAUUAUCAGUAUAGGAUGUUAACACAAAUAGGGUAAAUAGCACAAAGUAGAUUACAGUUUUUAGGGACAUGGACAUAUCCACAGCUUAGAGUAGCAAACAUAUAACCCAUUAAUGAGAACUAUAGUGACCUACAGUGGAAAUAUUUAAUAUUAAACAAUGAAGUCUCCUUUAACCUGGCAGUCAGGGAGAUUCUCUUCUGAGUAUUCUUUGGGAUCUGACUUGUGCAAGGUACAUUAGCUCAAUAGGCAGUGAAAUGGAUUAACUUAUAUUUUAUUAUUGCUUGGUUUUAGGUGUAAAAGGAAGCAGAGAGAAAUACUCUUUCUUUGGGACCUUGAGGAGGCCCAGUGUGAGCUUUUGAAAGAUAUCACGGGAGAUCUUUCCCAUAGAUUGUUCAUGAAACGGUCUUGAACACCUGAUAAUAAGAGAGGCACCAGGCUUCCUGUGAGAUGCUGGGGAGUUUGUGAAGAUGAUUCCGCGUAGGUUCUACUCCCUAGAGGAGCUUAGAUAAGAUGUUGGCUUAAGACAGUGAUAGGAAAAGAGAAAAAUGACCCCAAGUUUCGGUACCCAGACAACUGUGAGGAGAGUGACGCUGCGAGGGGAAUGGAGACACUGGGAGGGGUUUCUGGUGUUUGAUGCGUUUAGAUUUCAGGGUGUUUGGUCUUGGAUAUGGUAGGACAAGUCUCUAGAGAUGUUUCCCACAGCUGGAUAUCAUUGGGCUGUUGGAAUUCCCACUUGUAUAAAGUAUUUCAUUUGCAUUUAUUUUAACAAAUGUUCUCUGUAUUAAUAACUAGGCCAUCCUUUAAUAACUAGGCCUUUUAAUUUGGAAAGUCCUUGUAAUUACACUAAUAACAUCUUAUAAAUGUGUGUGUACGUGGGGGGUGCUUUUCAAUUCAAAACUGGAAAGGAAACACCCAGCAGAUCAUUUUUCCUUGGCCUUUGUCAGGGCGAGUCCUGAAGACAACACUGGGAAUCCCAUAGCCCCUGGAAAGAGCAGUGGCUAGGGAAGCAGGAGGUGUGAGUCCUGUUUCUGAUCAUGACCUUUGGUUGAGUCGCUUUUUGCACCUCAGAUUUCUCAUCUGUCAAGGAAAAUUGAGUAACUGAGCCCCAGAGACUGCGUGAUUUCUAUAAUAUCUUAAGGUACUAUCUAUGCCAUGGCUCUCUUUUGCCCUUGACACUCACCUCCAUGCGAGGUGUGCAACUUUUUAGUUUCCUAAAUCAUAGUCAUUAUUUUCACAUUCAUUCCUUGCUCAGCUCUGAUUGGUGGUAUUAUUCAUAACACCUCAGAAAUUGGGGUACAGAGGUGCUUGUCCGAAGUUUCUGUCUGGUGCAUGUUAAAGCUGGGGCUGGAGCCCAGGGCCCCUCCACUGCCCUUCACCACCCAACAAACUCCCCACCACAACCAGCCUAUAGGCUUCAGACUCAGCUUGCUCCACUCUUGAGUGGACUUUAAUAGGGGACUCUUAAAAAGAUACUACUAGGCUUUUAGAUUGCAGAUAGAAAAAUUUUUAACAACUUUUUGUUUUGAAGUCACUUCAUAUUUACAGAAAAGUUGCGAAGAUAGUACCUAGCUUCCCCUGGUGUUAAUAUCUUACUUACCAUGCUACAUUUGUCAGCACGAAGAAUAACAUGGGUAUAGUGCUCCGAACUAAACUAUAGACUUAGUUUGGAUUUCACCAGUUCAAAAUUUUAAUGGACAAAUGAAUGUAAAUUGGAGAGUGGAAGUAGGGUCAGGGACUUAAUAAGUCUUCUGGCCCCCAUCAAGUAAUACCAUGUACUACACGUGUGCUGCAGGGGCUGACCUUAUAGCAGAAGCAAAGUUGUGACAGUGAAGCAUCCUACCCUUGACGAGAAAGUCAGGAGGCAUACGCAGCUCUAGUGAAGAGAAACCCAUUGGCCACAGGGAGCCCUAAUACCCCAAAGUUUCAAAUGCUUAGGUGAGUGAACUACACACCAAGUAGCCGACACACCAAAGACACAUUUCAGAUCCUAUCUUUUGUGGACAAGAUGCUCACAAUCACCAUCCAUCAUUUUCUAAGUGCAAUCCUUUCCUGGAAGAUAUUGCAGUAUUAUUCAAAAUGUGUCAAAAUGGGCAGGAGAUCCCAAGAGUAAUUGUGAGUUAUGAGGUCAUGGGGACCUCAUUGCAAACUAUUUGCAAAACUUAAUUGGGGUAAUAAAUAAACUAAGCAUGUAAAUUAGAUUGAAGGCUACAGUGUGAAUUAGAAGGAGGCCAUUAGCUUGCAUAGUCAAAAUGCCUUCUUCCUCUUCGUAAUAUUUGCUGAGUUGAACUAGUAAUCGAGGAAACGUUAAAUUCGUUAAAAUCUAAAACUUCACAAUGAAAAUAACCUGGAAAUGAAACCAUUUAAUGAGAUCCUUUCUGGACAAAAUGUGAACUUUAUUUUUUAUGAUUAGGUCCUUAGGCCCUUUUCAAAUAGAGGAUGAUCUGGCAUUCAUCUUCGAAUCCACCUGCCCCUCGGGUGUGAAUUCAUCUUACCCAAGGCACUUAGACGCAAAUGCAGAAGGAAAAAAAAAAAAGCUCAAAAGGAAUGAAAGAAGGAAGCCAUUUCCAAUUGUCGAAAACAAACAGAUCCGUAGACUGAAAUGGGAUCGUCCCUCUCUUUUUUCUUUUUGAAACCAGGUGGUUAAAAAUAACUUCAGGUCUGACCUUUCUCUUUCACAUAUCUGAAGAAUGAAUAAAGGGACCUCUUGCAGGUAAAUAUAAAUAUAUAAAAAAACAAAUAACAGAAACCAAGUGCUCAAACCCUGCAUCUCAUCAUCUAGCCCAAGUCAAGUCUUAUAGCGGCUUUUUCUUUUUUUUUUUCCCAAGCAGUUGAUUGAAUGAAUACAAAUGCCUCUCUGUUGUCACUUGGGAUGCCACUUGAUAUAUCCCAUUUUCUAGACUCUAAUUAUUCCAUUUGUAGACAUGAAUGCCAUUUAGAUGUAAGCUAAUUCAGCAUGGUAACUCAAUUAGAUUUGUACCGACUUGGAUUUAUGAAACAUCAAUGGGUUCUUGGUGAGACCAAUGGGACUGCGGGCGAUUCAUCCCUGAAGUCUCACCGACACAGCCUCUCAGGAGCUCAAUUAAACACGCCAGCCACGAGGAUGUUUUUUAGCUGGCAUGUUUCACAAUUAAAAGAAAAGAGAUUUCUGUGUUCCUCAGCGUGCACAGCCCAGCAGACAAGAAAGACCUGUGAUCACACAGACUGAAGCUUUCCUGUAGGUUAUAUGUUCUCUCUGUGAAAGUGGCUCUUUCUCUCUGCUGGGCUUCUGAGCACCUGCGUGGCAGCACUCUGUGUGGCCGGCCUCAGCAGCCAACCCACGUUUCAAAGAUCCCGGAGUUGGAUCCUGUCUCACAGUCAAGGGCACUUGGUAAAUGUUGGUUGAAAUAAAUUGCUAAGUUCCUCUUAGAGUCUAUAUCUGCAUCUUGGUUCUAAGAGCUGAGAGGCAGAUGCUGAAUACCAAAUCAGAUUUGUAAAAAUAGGAGACAUCUCAAAGUGAGGAAAAUGAUACUAUAUUUUCAGCAUAAAAUGUGACCCGUGGUCAGAAACUGGGGGGGAAGGACUUGAAGUCAGAACUAUCCCCUAAUGCACACCUUGUUUAAAA